UGCUAGAUAGCUCAGUCGGCAGAGCAUGAGACUCUAAAUCUCAGGGCUGUGUGUGUCAAGCUCCACGCUGGUCCUGCAU